rnacentral:misc_RNA from 1 species
AAUACAUCAAAACUUCAUUUAACUCUUUAAAUUCAAAAUCCUCCAUAAUAGUAUCAGCAUCAAAUUCCUUCCUCCAUUGAAGCAUGUCGGCCCACAUGUGUUUUGCUUUUUCAAUGUCAAACUUCCUUGCUUUCAAGAACCUCAACAACAUAUGAUAAUCAUCAUGUCUUUCUGGUAGUAAUUCGUCCAUGAUCAAUGCCUGACGAAAUUCAUCAACAGCCUGCAGUUCUCCAGCAUCCCGAACAUCCUCAAUCGAAACAGAACUGACUCUACCAUCACUCUUUCUUCUACUUUCGAGUGGAAUUGAGCACAGAGAGAGAGAGAGAGAGAGAGAGAGAGAGAGAGAGUUUAAGAGAUCCUAUUCUGGUUCGCCUUUCAUCCUCAGAGUUUUCAAAAUCAGAUUUUCUCUCUUUUCUCUCAUCACUACCUGAGAAUCCGUCAAAGCAAGGUCUCGCGAAGCGAUCCAG